CGGGGUGCAGCAGGCGCGAAAACUUUACAAUGCCGGCAACGGCGAUAAGGGAACCUCGAGUGCCAGGUUAUAAAUCUGGCUGUCGUGAUGCCUAAAAAGCAUUGCAUAGCAAGGGCCGGGCAAGACCGGUGCCAGCCGCCGCGGUAACACCGGCGGCUCGAGUGGUAACCGUUAUUAUUGGGUCUAAAGGGUCUGUAGCCGGCCGGAUAAGUCUCUUGGGAAAUCUGGCAGCUUAACUGUCAGGCUUUCAGGAGAUACUGUCUGGCUCGAGGCCGGGAGAGGUGAGAGGUACUUCAGGGGUAGGGGUGAAAUCUUGUAAUCCUUGAAGGACCACCAGUGGCGAAGGCGUCUCACCAGAACGGACCUGACGGCAAGGGACGAAAGCUAGGGGCACGAACCGGAUUAGAUACCCGGGUAGUCCUAGCCGUAAACGAUACUCGCUAGGUGUCGGCCACGGUGCGACCGUGGUCGGUGCCGUAGGGAAGCCGUGAAGCGAGCCACCUGGGAAGUACGGCCGCAAGGCUGAAACUUAAAGGAAUUGGCGGGGGAGCACAAGGGCGAAUUCGCG
rnacentral:rRNA from 1 species